CGGGACACGUGGUAUCCUGUCUGAAUAUGGGGGGACCAUCCUCCAAGGCUAAAUACUCCUGACUGACCGAUAGUGAACCAGUACCGUGAGGGAAAGGCGAAAAGAACCCCGGCGAGGGGAGUGAAAAAGAACCUGAAACCGUGUACGUACAAGCAGUGGGAGCACGCUUAGGCGUGUGACUGCGUACCUUUUGUAUAAUGGGUCAGCGACUUAUAUUCUGUAGCAAGGUUAACCGAAUAGGGGAGCCGAAGGGAAACCGAGUCUUAACUGGGCGUUAAGUUGCAGGGUAUAGACCCGAAACCCGGUGAUCUAGCCAUGGGCAGGUUGAAGGUUGGGUAACACUAACUGGAGGACCGAACCGACUAAUGUUGAAAAAUUAGCGGAUGACUUGUGGCUGGGGGUGAAAGGCCAAUCAAACCGGGAGAUAGCUGGUUCUCCCCGAAAGCUAUUUAGGUAGCGCCUCGUGAAUUCAUCUCCGGGGGUAGAGCACUGUUUCGGCAAGGGGGUCAUCCCGACUUACCAACCCGAUGCAAACUGCGAAUACCGGAGAAUGUUAUCACGGGAGACACACGGCGGGUGCUAACGUCCGUCGUGAAGAGGGAAACAACCCAGACCGCCAGCUAAGGUCCCAAAGUCAUGGUUAAGUGGGAAACGAUGUGGGAAGGCCCAGACAGCCAGGAUGUUGGCUUAGAAGCAGCCAUCAUUUAAAGAAAGCGUAAUAGCUCACUGGUCGAGUCGGCCUGCGCGGAAGAUGUAACGGGGCUAAACCAUGCACCGAAGCUGCGGCAGCGACGCUGAUGCGUUGUUGGGUAGGGGAGCGUUCUGUAAGCCUGCGAAGGUGUGCUGUGAGGCAUGCUGGAGGUAUCAGAAGUGCGAAUGCUGACAUAAGUAACGAUAAAGCGGGUGAAAAGCCCGCUCGCCGGAAGACCAAGGGUUCCUGUCCAACGUUAAUCGGGGCAGGGUGAGUCGACCCCUAAGGCGAGGCCGAAAGGCGUAGUCGAUGGGAAACAGGUUAAUAUUCCUGUACUUGGUGUUACUGCGAAGGGGGGACGGAGAAGGCUAUGUUGGCCGGGCGACGGUUGUCCCGGUUUAAGCGUGUAGGCUGGUUUUCCAGGCAAAUCCGGAAAAUCAAGGCUGAGGCGUGAUGACGAGGCACUACGGUGCUGAAGCAACAAAUGCCCUGCUUCCAGGAAAAGCCUCUAAGCAUCAGGUAACAUCAAAUCGUACCCCAAACCGACACAGGUGGUCAGGUAGAGAAUACCAAGGCGCUUGAGAGAACUCGGGUGAAGGAACUAGGCAAAAUGGUGCCGUAACUUCGGGAGAAGGCACGCUGAUAUGUAGGUGAAGUCCCUCGCGGAUGGAGCUGAAAUCAGUCGAAGAUACCAGCUGGCUGCAACUGUUUAUUAAAAACACAGCACUGUGCAAACACGAAAGUGGACGUAUACGGUGUGACGCCUGCCCGGUGCCGGAAGGUUAAUUGAUGGGGUUAGCGCAAGCGAAGCUCUUGAUCGAAGCCCCGGUAAACGGCGGCCGUAACUAUAACGGUCCUAAGGUAGCGAAAUUCCUUGUCGGGUAAGUUCCGACCUGCACGAAUGGCGUAAUGAUGGCCAGGCUGUCUCCACCCGAGACUCAGUGAAAUUGAACUCGCUGUGAAGAUGCAGUGUACCCGCGGCAAGACGGAAAGACCCCGUGAACCUUUACUAUAGCUUGACACUGAACAUUGAGCCUUGAUGUGUAGGAUAGGUGGGAGGCUUUGAAGUGUGGACGCCAGUCUGCAUGGAGCCGACCUUGAAAUACCACCCUUUAAUGUUUGAUGUUCUAACGUGGACCCGUAAUCCGGGUUGCGGACAGUGUCUGGUGGGUAGUUUGACUGGGGCGGUCUCCUCCUAAAGAGUAACGGAGGAGCACGAAGGUUGGCUAAUCCUGGUCGGACAUCAGGAGGUUAGUGCAAUGGCAUAAGCCAGCUUGACUGCGAGCGUGACGGCGCGAGCAGGUGCGAAAGCAGGUCAUAGUGAUCCGGUGGUUCUGAAUGGAAGGGCCAUCGCUCAACGGAUAAAAGGUACUCCGGGGAUAACAGG
rnacentral:rRNA from 1 species